AUUGAACGCUGGCGGCGUGCCUAACACAUGCAAGUCGAGCGGCAGCGCGGGAGCAAUCCUGGCGGCGAGCGGCGAACGGGUGAGUAAUGCUUCGGAAUCUGCCCCUUCAGUGGGGAAUAACCAGUCGAAAGACUGGCUAAUACCGCAUACGAACUGAGGUUGAAAGCAGGGGAUCGCAAGACCUUGCGCUGAUGGAUGAGCCGAAGUCGGAUUAGCUAGUUGGUAGGGUAACGGCCUACCAAGGCGACGAUCCGUAGCUGGUCUGAGAGGACGACCAGCCACACUGGGACUGAGACACGGCCCAGACUCCUACGGGAGGCAGCAGUGGGGAAUAUUGGACAAUGGGGGCGAACCCUGAUCCAGCGACGCCGCGUGUGUGAAGAAGGCCUGC
rnacentral:rRNA from 1 species